CAGAAGUUGAGUGAGUGUAUAAUUUUCAGCAGCAGCAAUAUUGCCUUUCUACAAUAACAUACCAGGAAAUCUAGAACUGAAGAUCACAGCAAGAUCUUGCAUUAUUGUCUGCUGUGGAUAGGGUUGCACUUCCUCUGAAAGAGCAGGUCCAUAGAUGAUAUCUGGCUGGUCACUGUGAGAACAGGAUGGUGGACUAGAUGGGCCUCUAGUCUUAUCCAGUAGGACUCUUGAUGUUCUUGAGCUAUAGAUCAAAGGGUUCAGCAUGGGGAUCACCAUUGUGUAGAACACGGAGACCAUCUUGUCCACAUCUAUUGACGAGUUGGACCUGGAGCUGGGACGGACAUAUAUAAAGAAGAGUGUCCCAUAAAAGAUUGACACAACCGUGAGAUUUGUUCCUGUGUGUUGAUGAGGAUGGACAUGCUGUUGGAUAUCUACUUUGCACUGGAUUCUCUGCCACAAAUGCGUUUUCCAGGGAGAAGAUGGCUUAAUGAUGGUUUCAUUAUGACACCUUACAGAUACUUUGGUAUUGCUGAACUGCCUGAUGCAAACAACUUAAAAUCUUUGACAAUGUGCUAUUCUGAAGGGACUUCAUAUUGAGCAUUUGGAACUGGGGACUUUGUCUUCCAAAUAAUUCAAAUCUCAAGUGACAGUAACAUUAAUUCCACUGAAGUGUCAUUUCAAAACAAAAACACUGCUUCGAAUGUAGGCAAAAGGUGACGAUGCAGUUGGUACAAUGGGCAGAACUAAUGGGCCACACAAUCCAGCAGAGAGCUGAAUUACCUUAAGCCCACUGGUAUCAACACUCAUAAGUGUGGCUUGUUUUGCUGGAUUGUAGUCCUGUAGUCUAAGCAGGAGGAUAUUCCUUUCACUUAUGGAAAUAAGCAUCUGCUAGCUGCUCCCAUACCCCAAGUGGGGCACGAAUUAAAAAUGGAAAUAAGGCUGACAUCUUUAUUAACUUACAGGAUCUCUACAACAUAACAUAAUUUAAUUGCCCAUUCCCAGAAGGGUGCCUUCUUCAAAGCCUUAGAAUCCAAGUUUAGAACUAGGGGAUGUCUCCUGCUGUUUGCCUUGUUUGGUUGACCCCAUCCUGUCUCAGAUCCUUGAAGUAGUCCUGAAACUGAUCAUUGUUCAUCAUUCCACCCCACUGAAGUAUGUGUCAAGGAGUUUUCUGGAAGUAUCAUCAGUCCAUAAACAAUAUAUUGGUAUAUUGGUACCCAUCAGUUCCCCCCACUUUUCCCUCCAGCUGGAAAGCUGCAAGUGGCUGGUUUGGAUUAGGGAUGGAAACUGCUUGGUGGUACCAGUUCAGAUCACAUUCCACUGAAAUAGCAGGUGGUUAUGGUCUGUUUUCAUUAUUUUUCUGCUAUAAUAUGCUUUUACAGUUUCAUUUUUUUAUCCUGAAAAAUAUUGUUCUCAUUAUUUCAAACAAUAUUUUCCUGUUAGAAAGGAAAGUGGCUUUCUCUCUGCCCCAUGUCCACCCACGCAAUCUCACCCAGCCAUAGUAGAAAGUAAGAGAUUGGCUGGUCAGUUAUGGUGAGAGAAAGGAAGAUAUCACCUAGUCAGUUUCAUGUUAGCAAAGCAAAGACUCAUGCUGGUCAGUUUAAUUUUAGCAAAGCAAAGGUGCUGAUCCAUAUAAGUUAGCAAAGCAAAGAUGCAUGCUGGUCAAUUUCAUGUUAGCAUAGCAACACAGCACAGCAGUACAAUAAUAAUAAUAUAUUCAAUACAUUUUUUAAAAAACAACCCGGUGUUGGGAAAAGCUGUGGAAGUUCACAGCAUUCAGGAUCAGUCCACAAAGAUAGUGAACAUGUGAACUAUGGGGAACUCUGUUGCCAAGUUCGAAUUUAGAGAAAUUCUUGCCCACCUCUAGUUUGUGUAAGCCCGUCUUCAUAAUUUGAUGUCACAAGGUGCUCGCCACUGUACCAUACUCAUUACUCCUCUCUCUCCACCCCCUCCUUAACUGCACAGGAAGCCAGCCUAGCUUAGUACCUUCACUUCAUCUGUUAUAAAAUCCCACAGAAACUGUUGCAGAUCCCUCAAUAGCAUAUCACAACUCUCCAGGGAAGGAUGAACUCAGUGGAGGCUGAUCCAUUGGGGUAAGUGGGGCACUGCCUCACCAAUAUCAGUUUGUCUUCAGCCAGGCCCCUGGUUGCCUGCCUACCUUCUUAUUUACAACCAGUCUAGGAAUUAGCACUGGCUGUCAGCCUCUUCCUCUUUCUUCUCAGUGUUGCCGUUGUAGAACUCAGGAGUAGAAUGGAGACAAAACUAGAAUUAGUUGCCUCUCUCUCUGUCAUUGGCUCUGCCUUCACCUGCGGUUGGGGUCCUAGCCUUCCACCCCACCAGUCCCAGUGGGCACCAGCCACCACUGCAUACAAUUCAUCAUCUGUGAAGAGGUGAGGCAGUGAGUUCUUGAUAUCAGGAUUGGUGAUGUGUCCUCCCUCAUAGCUAUCACUAAUCCAAGACCAUAUUCACUUUCCUUCUGCCCCAGUCUCACCAGUUAGACAUAGCUGUUCCCCUCCACACCCUACAGACAUAUCUGGUGCACAGCUCUGAGCCAGCUCCAAAUCCCUGUGAGCUUGCAGUCUCAAAGACCAGCUCACCCAGUGCCCCAGAUUUUUCUCACUGAGGUAUAUCAUCAUGUUUUAGGGGUGCAAACUGAUUGCUACACAUUGUUAGAAGAAUGGCAUAGUAGGGGCAAAUAAAAACCGGAAGACAUCUAGAUAUACAACCAAGGAGCUUAGUGUGGAAUACCCCAUUCCCCCUGUCCCAUAAUUCUUGUCUUACACCCCUGAUUUAUGGGGUGCUUAUUGCUUUUGUAAACUGCUGGCCUAGUAAUGGAGUCUGAAAUGUUCUGUUUAGAGCAGUAAGCUCAAAUUGCAAGCUUUCUGACCCUGGGUAGAAAGAAGCUUGUUUGUCUCAGCCGAUGCUUACAGCAGAGGCUGGGAAAGGCUGUUUAAUUAAUCAAAACAAUGAACUCAUCAGGGAGGGGGAAAGUCUUCACAGCUGCAUUCUCAGCUCUUGUGAGCACAACUUCAAGGUCACUGUGAGAGAAACAAACAUCAGAAAUGUGAGAUCUAAAACUUGCCCCUGGGAAAGAUAAAAAUCUCACAAGUAUAGGUACUACCUAUGCCCCCUCCCAGAGAGUCUUUUGGGUAUAAAUAGAGGGCCAUUGAUCUGGGCAGAUAAGCCUCAACACUGACUAGAAGCCUCAACACUGGCCUGCAGGGAAGAGGGGUGCAGUGUAAAUCCAAACAGGGCUAUAAAUGGGAUCUCUCUGCCUGUCUGUUGACAGGGGCUUUCAGCAGGGAAAACGGAGAAUGUGAGAUAAAAACUGUGCUCAUCAUUAGUUGCUGUAAGUGUUUUAGUGCCUGCCUGCUGCAACCAAUAGCUUUUGCUUCAAU